rnacentral:rRNA from 1 species
GACUACAUGAAGCUGGAAUCGCUAGUAAUCGCGGAUCAGAAUGCCGCGGUGAAUACGUUCCCGGGUCUUGUACACACCGCCCGUCACACCAUGGGAGUCGGAAAUGCCCGAAGCCGGUGACCUAACCUUUCAGGAAGGAGCCGUCGAAGGCAGGUCUGAUAACUGGGGUGAAGUCGUAACAAGGUAUC